rnacentral:rRNA from 1 species
CCUACGGGUGGCAGCAGUGAGGAAUAUUGGUCAAUGGACGAGAGUCUGAACCAGCCAAGUAGCGUGAAGGAUGACUGCCCUAUGGGUUGUAAACUUCUUUUAUAUGGGAAUAAAAUGUUCCACGUGUGGGAUUUUGUAUGUACCAUAUGAAUAAGGAUCGGCUAACUCCGUGCCAGCAGCCGCGGUAAUACGGAGGAUCCGAGUGUUAUCCGGAUUUAUUGGGUUUAAAGGGAGCGUAGGUGGAUUGUUAAGUCAGUUGUGAAAGUUUGCGGCUUAACCGUAAAAUUGCAGUUGAAACUGGCAGUCUUGAGUACAGUAGAGGUGGGCGGAAUUCGUGGUGUAGCGGUGAAAUGCUUAGAUAUCACGAAGAACUCCGAUUGCGAAGGCAGUUCACUGGACUGCAACUGACACUGAGGCUCGAAAGUGUGGGUAUCAAACAGGAUUAGAUACCCGGGUAGUC